GACGAACGCUGGCGGCGUGCUUAACACAUGCAAGUCGAACGGAAAGGCCUGCUUUCCCUUGUGGAUUGCGGGUACUCGAGUGGCGAACGGGUGAGUAACACGUGAGUGAUCUGCCCCCAACUUGGGUAUAAGCCUGGGAAACUGGGUCUAAUUCCCGAUAGGACUGCAGGGUGGUGCCUGUGGUGGAAAACGAUUUUCUAGUGGUUGGGGAUGAGCUCGCGGCCUAUCAGCUUGUUGGUGGGGUAAUGGCCUACCAAGGCGGCGACGGGUAGCCGGCCUGAGGGGGUGGACGGCCACAUUGGGACUGAGAUACGGCCCAGACUCCUACGGGAGGCAGCAGUGGGGAAUAUUGCACAAUGGGCGGAAGCCUGAUGCAGCGACGCCGCGUGGGGGAUGACGGCCUUCGGGUGGUAAACUCCUUUCGACCGCGAGGAAGCCACCUGGUUGGAAGGGUGGUGACGGUAGUGGUAGAAGAAGCACCGGCUAACUACGUG
rnacentral:rRNA from 1 species